rnacentral:rRNA from 1 species
AUGAUGGCGAGGCAACUGUCGCUGCGCCGGAACCUCACCGUCCCUCCCGUGGCUGGGGGAUCCGACAUCGACGGAUCUCACAGAAUGAUGACACGAGCGCGAUGCCGGCGGCUUUGCCUCCUGGCAGAAUCAUCCGAGCGCGAGCAAUUGGGCGGUCUUGGCGCGGAUUGGGCCAACUUGCUUCCUCUGGACCUUGUCGAGGAGAUCUCUAGCCGGCUACUCUCCCUCUACGUGGCCGAGUACCUCCGCUUCCGUGCCGUGUGCAGCCCGUGGCAUGGACUUACAGCCGACCCGCGCGCAGCAGGGCUCCUUGACAGUCGUUUCCGCCCCCGCAACUGGAUAGUGCUCUCCAUCAUGCCUGGCGUCGAGCCCCGUCGCCGCCUCCUCAACCUGGCCAACGCGGCCUCUCUCGGCGUCCACCUCUCGGCGCUCUCCACCCACUGCCAUGUCUGUGCCGCCAGCGGCCUCCUCGUCCUCUUCCACAAGCCUACCAAGACCAUGCGCCUCCUCGACCCACUCACCAAUGCCCUCACCGUGUUCCCAGUCGUCUCCAGCAUCGUUGUCCCCCCUAUAGUGAAGAUAACCUCCUGCCAGUGUUGA